ensembl:lncRNA
GAGAAUAGACUCGGGAGACAGACUCGGGAGUCCUGACUCACGGGUACGGGAGAACGGAGAACGGACAUUUCCGCAAUUGGAACAGCAGCUGACUUGAUGACGUCACCACAGUAGGCGGUCUCUGUUUACGCACGCAAGUAUCUCAUCUGCCGUCGCAGCUUGCUGAGGUGAAAUGCAUUCUGGGAUAUAUGUCUCUCACAAGAACAGACGAGCCUGCUUCGAUGCAUGCCCGGUAAAAUGGGCGGGGCGAGUCACAUCCGGGUAUUAUGACCGUUCUCGGCCAGAUGCGGACUUGAGAAUUGGAACAGUACUCGGGCUGUGACUGAUGACGUUUCACGAGUCCACGAGAACAAAAGUCCACACAAGAACGCAUAUUGAGAAACGGCCGUUGACUCUCUGCGACUCCUCCAGGAAGUGGAUGACUGCGGCUUCCAGCGCCGUUUCAGGCGGACCAGCAGCCGGUCUGAUGACCUGGGCCCGUUUUUUCAAAAGGUUUAAUCCGGAUAAUAUUGAUCCGGAUUUAGUAAUCCUUUUUUUUUGCGAUCCGUGAUCACGUAAUCCGGCUUACUUUUGAGCCAGUUUUUCAAAGCAACAUCGGAUUGGAUCAAUCUGAUUCGGAUAGGAACUUUUCAGGAUCACCAAAUCUGGAUAACCAGUGGUCAAACAGGAUAGGAAAUCACAAUGUAGAACUAUAGAUAUGUAAAGAGCAACAAGUAGAAUAGCCAGUGUGGGGUCAAUAUAAGUUUAUUUUUAUUUAAAAAAAGCUAAAAACAAGAAAAACAGACUCCAUCCUCUUCCAGCAGUCCGCUCAUCUGAGACCUACAACACAAACACUGUACAUUGAGGAUAUUUAUAACAAGUUUCAAAUAUACACGUAUUGAAUUAAAAAAAAAGACUUAAUGUCAAAUACUCCACAAUAAUUUCAGACUUCCUCAUCUGAUGUGGAGAGACCAGCUUGUCUGAGCGUAGCCUUUAGGAGGCGGAUCUCAAGUCUGGCCUUGGUUUGCUGCAGUUUGGUUGGUUGUUCCUCUGCCAGAACGAGCAACACAAUGGGCUCGUCGUGGCGCAGAGGUUAGAGAAGGUGUGUGUCCCAUGUCAAAGUGUCCCUGAGCAAGACACCUAACCCCUAAUUGCUCCCUGGGCAAAAAUGUGAAAAAGCCAUGGGUUUAAAGUGUAAUGUAAGUCCCUUUGGAUAAAAGCGUCUGCUAAAUGACCUGUAAUAAUAAUAAUAACAAGGGACGCAAUAGUUAGACACUAUUUCUGAUUUGGAUUUGUUUUGGAUUUCAAAAAUCAGUGAUUGCCAUUCUUUGCAUUUUUUUUGGUUAUUCUGUAAUCAUUGCAUGCAUCACGAAUAAAUAUUCUAAAAACAAAAAUAUUUUCGAUUGAAAAUAUUUUCGAUUUUCGAUUGUGAUGAAUAUAUAUAUAUAUAUAUAUAUAUCAAUUAGUGACAGAAUAAAAUGUAUUGUCUUUGGUCAAUUUUGACAGCUGUUUGGGGGAUUAUUUUAUGAGGCCAAACUCUUUCUACCUUUGCUGUAGGCCUAUACUGAAAGGCUGAAUACGUUAAAGCCUACCUAAUCACUGUAGCCUGACGGAUGAACAAAUACAAUUAAAACCUUAUGAAUUAAUAGGAUAUCUUGUAAGAUACUGCAUGGUCCAAAAAUAGUAUUAUUUGAUACAUUUUUAAAGUUUUCAUUACAUUUUGGGCAUGAAAUCCACGCUGAAUCCACCCUUCUGAUGGGAUCCGUUUAAUCCAGAUUUUUUGGAUCAAAGUGAUCCAAAUCCUACAAAAAAGUUCUGAAAAAUCCAAACUAAAGGUUUGAUCCAAAUCAAAACCAAGAUUGGAUUACGUGAUCUAAUCCGAUUAUGUAAUCAGUUUUUUCUUUUGAAAAAUCCAUUUUCAAGAUUUGAUCCAAUCCGUUAUCCAAAAUCCUAGUGGAUUACUUUUGAAAAACCGGGCCCUGUUGUGUCGGAUCGGUUACACACAAACUAAUUUACAGGCGUUCAGUGUGUGUGUGUCUCUCAUGACGUCAGUGGAGUAAAGAAAUCCAUACAGCUCGUAGAAGGCUUCCAUGUGUGAAAAUCUCUCCUUCAAAGUAAUAAGAGCUGUAUCAAUAAGAGGAAAGUAUAUCUCUUCUGCAGUUGACUGAGUUUGCUCUUUGCCUUCAUACUCAAACUGUCGGGUUGUUCUUCUCUGACGCACCUCUGGCCAGCUCAUCUCCACCUCAAGCCUCUCUGCCACUUCCCUGGCCUCUGUCUUGGCGGUGUUGAACCCAUCAUCCAGAAAUUCCUGAAGGAAUACUGUCACAGCCCUGAUUUCUUUCCUGACUGUUUUAAUUGACACGUUCUGGCUCUGCAGGGCCUUGCUGGCUUUAUUUAUCUGGAACAACACAUUUAUGUAAUUUUGAAUGUGUUUGCUUAAGUAAUUGUCACUUAUCUCGUUGGCUUGACUUGACUUCUUGACUUCUCCUCAGAUGUUCUCUCAUAAUUGGGUCAAACUGAGCCAUGAGUUGAACCCAAGGAAAUUUCCAUUUCCAGGCUCAAACAGUCAGUCAGAGUGGCCACGAAAUGCUAGAUUGCGCUCUGCCAGAUGGUUAACAGUUGCAAUUAAUCUCGUCAGAACUUCUUUCCAGCGGUUUACUUCAAGAGAAAGAAGAUUUUGGUUCAUCUGAUCGAUAGCCGCGUGUGUCUGUAGUUUCUGCGAUAGGUUGCGCCAAGCAUCCAUAUUUGCAAUGUGCUCAGCAGACUUUUCAUGCUGUCUCAGGGGGGCUGAAAUAUUUUUCCAAAACAUUGAACCCAUCCUCACUCGGCUGAUCGCUCCUUUCUCGGUUUCCAAAUAGGCGGCAGCAAAAACAAAUAACACGGUCCUUCUUUUCACUGUAGACAAGCCGUGAUCUGCAUAUCCGUUCUCCAUUUUUCAUCUGCAUGUAGUUGCUGCUGGUAAAUCUGUGCCCGUCUUCAUUCCUCGGGAAGAUCCCGUCCUUCACCUGAAGUGGUCCCCUCUCCACUAUUGAGCAGCGUGCACUAUCCGACAGCUGUUUUGGCCAGAGUGCUGGAUCGUUUCCUAGAAGUACAGUGGAUGAUGCCCAUCCCUGUCUCAUUCUGAAAACAAAUACAAAACACAGCAUAAGGCUUUUACCCAGUGGUGAAAUGUACAGCAUAUUUACUAAUGUAGACAUUUGAGGAAUUCAUGCAACUUCAAUUUUGUCUGCGCUGCUGUACUUUAAACUCCACUACAGUACAUUAAAUGAAAUGGCUGGUUACAUAUUUCAAACCUUUCCUGCCUCAUGAAAACCACGUACCCUCCAAAUGAUGAUUUAAUGCUAAUAUUGUGAUAAACUGAAAGAGUCUUCCUUUGUGGGGUGACUUUUAAAGCAAAAACUCAGUACAUGAAUUCAUUCAAAAUUAGCUCCAUCUUAAAUAUCUACAGCAGUAAAUGAUAACACGCAUUAAAACGAUAUUAAUAUGAAGUUAUAACACUGAGGGAUCAUUUUUUAAUGAAGAGUGAUAGUUUUUAAUAACUUAAAUGGUUUAUGUUUUUAAUGCAUAACUUUACACAUUCAGGACUAAAUCACCCUUAGACAGUUUUGACACACACAUAAUACGAUACGCAUUCUGCUGGCAUUUUAGCGAGAUAAUUUUAAUCAUAAAUAUAAUUAAUAUGCGCAAGAAAGUAAUAACUUUAUCAACCAUAAGUGUAUGAGGAUUUUUACGGGGCCCCUCAGGAACUUGGGGCCAUAGGAAACUGCCUAGUUUCGACUAAUCUUUCGAUAGACCGCGUCGUGCGAAGAUUCGCUCGUUUAAAAUUCGCCUCAUUCGCGACGCGUCUGUGCAUUGACUGAACAUCUGGAACGACUGGAAUCUACUCACGCAAAUAAAUCUCUUCGCUUUUGCUGUCUCCUCUCACAAGGACGAGAUGAUCUGCAGCAUCCUAGUGAUCUUCAUCCUGACCUCCUGUGUCUGUGUCUCCUCAGCAGGGUCAUUUGUAGUGAAUGUGACACAGAGCUGGUAUCAUGCAGAGGAGAACCACAACAUCUUACUGGAAUGGAUGUUCCCCACCAGCACGGACCCCUCCCCCAACGCCUUUUAUAUCACUUGUGAGAUGUUAGCUGAUAAGAUACCCGUAGUCGUGUUUCAUCUACAUGAAGGUGUCGAGGCCCCAGAGGAUCAGGAUAAACGCUUUGCAGGACGAGUCCAGUGGGACAAAGACGUCCUCAGAGAAGGACGACUCAGACUUCACAUCUCCAGACUCCAGACUAGUGACUCGGGGCUGUACUGGUGUCAGGUGCUCACAAGUUAUGGGAAGAACUAUAAGGAAUGUCACCUCAAUGUCACUGCAGUGAAGGAUCGACCCGAACCUGAGACAUCGAGUGACACCAGACUGAGAAGAGAUCCUCGGGGAAGGAUCGGCCUCUACUGUGCACUGGGACUGACAGCAGCUCUACUGGUUCCUUUAUUUUAUCUCUGCUUUGCAAACAAGACCAGUGAUCAGCAGAACAAACGAUAACCCAGCAUUGCUCCUGUAGCUGUGACCACAGAGUGAGAAUGGAGUGAAUAUUAGUUACUGACGGCAGGAAGCUGCUCAUCAGUGUGAGAGUGGUUGAAUGAUGUGUGUGUGUGUGUAUAUAUAUAUAUAUAUUUAUAUUUAUAUUUAUAUACCGGUUUAAUUUUUGUGUUCUCUGACUGAGAUUCAAAGGAAAUCCACAGUCUUUACAGACUGAAGUUUUUUUUUGUUCUAGACCUUCAGCUCCUCUAACAGAGACUCUGACUACUGAACAUAUUCUGCAUUAAGCAUCGUGCUGCUCGUCAUCAAAGACUAAUGUUUAUUCUGGUUCCUGAUCAUAAAGAAAAGGAGAAGCCAUAAAGCCUGUAUGAAGAGAAAUAGAUCCUCACGCUGCCUCAAUAUUGCAUUUUGCACAUAAUGCGAUUAAUCGUUGUUAACCACAGAAAAAUAAUAAUAAUUCAACUUCUUCCUUUCCCUAACAUUAAUACAUACCAAUUCCUAUUUGUGCAAAAAAUACACUGUUACAUUACUUUUAUUUAUUUAAUAUACUGUGAAUGGAAUAAAGUAUUA